GAUGAACGCUGGCGGCGUGCCUAAUACAUGCAAGUCGAGCGAACAGACGAGGAGCUUGCUCCUCUGACGUUAGCGGCGGACGGGUGAGUAACACGUGGAUAACCUACCUAUAAGACUGGGAUAACUUCGGGAAACCGGAGCUAAUACCGGAUAAUAUAUUGAACCGCAUGGUUCAAUAGUGAAAGACGGUUUUGCUGUCACUUAUAGAUGGAUCCGCGCCGCAUUAGCUAGUUGGUAUGGUAACGGCUUACCAAGGCAACGAUGCGUAGCCGACCUGAGAGGGUGAUCGGCCACACUGGAACUGAGACACGGUCCAGACUCCUACGGGAGGCAGCAGUAGGGAAUCUUCCGCAGUGGGCGAAAGCCUGACGGAGCAACGCCGCGUGAGUGAUGAAGGUCUUCGGAUCGUAAAACUCUGUUAUUAGGGAAGAACAAAUGUGUAAGUAACUAUGCACGUCUUGACGGUACCUAAUCAGAAAGCCACGGCUAACUACGU
rnacentral:rRNA from 1 species